rnacentral:rRNA from 1 species
AUUGAACACUGGCGGCAUGCCUUACACAUGCAAGUCGAACGGCAGCUGGGACUUCGGUCCGCCGGCGAGUUGCGAACGGGUGAGUAAUGUAUCGGAACGUACCAUUCAGUGGGGGAUAACUAUCCGAAAGGAUAGCUAAUACCGCAUAUUCUCUGAGCUGGACAGCAGGCGAUCGCAAGACCUUGCGCUGAUCGAGCGGCCGAUAUCAGAUUAGCUAGUUGGUGAGGUAACGGCCCACCAACGCUACGAUCUGUAGCUGGUCUGAGAGGACGACCAGCCACACUGGAACUGAGACACGGUCCAGCCUCCUACGGGAGGCAGCAGUGGGGAAUUUUGGACAAUGGGCGCAAGCCUGAUCCAGCCAUUCCGCGUGAGUGAAGAAGGCCUUCGGGUUGUAAAGCUCUUUCGCAAGGGAAGAAAACUUACCCUCUAACAUAGGGUGAGGUUGGCGGUACCUUGAUAAGAAGCACCGGCUAACUACGUGCCUGCAGCCGCGGUAAUAC